GACGAACGCUGGCGGCGUGCCUAAUACAUGCAAGUCGAGCGAAGCGGCGGAUGGGUGAGUAACGCGUGGGUAACCUGCCCUUAAGUCUGGGAUACCCUUUGGAAACAGAUGCUCAUACCGGAUACUAAAGGAUGGACCUGCGAUGCAUUAGCUAGUUGGUAAGGUAACGGCUUACCAAGGCGAUGAUGCAUAGCCGGGUUGAGAGGCUGACCGGCCACAGUGGAACUGAGACACGGCCCAAACUCCUACGGGAGGCAGCAGUAGGGAAUCUUCCACAAUGGACGAAAGUCUGAUGCAGCAACGCCGCGUGAGUGAAGAAGGUUUUCGGAUCGUAAAGCUCUGUUGUUGGUGAAGCGUUAAUCAACCAGAAAGUCACGGCUAACUACGUGCCAGCAGCCGCGGUAAUUC
rnacentral:rRNA from 1 species